GAUGAACGCUGGCGGCGUGCCUAAUACAUGCAAGUCGAGCGAACAGACGAGGAGCUUGCUCCUCUGACGUUAGCGGCGGACGGGUGAGUAACACGUGGAUAACCUACCUAUAAGACUGGGAUAACUUCGGGAAACCGGAGCUAAUACCGGAUAAUAUCUUGAACCGCAUGGUUCAAUAGUGAAAGACGGUUUUGCUUUCACUUAUAGAUGGAUCCGCGCCGCAUUAGCUAGUUGGUAAGUUAACGGCUUACCAAGGCAACGAUCCGUAGCCGACCUGAGAGGGGGAUCGGCCAAACGGGAACGGAGAAAGGGCCAAGACUCCAACGGGGGGAAGCAGUAGGGAAUCUUCCGCAAUGGGCGAAAGCCUGACGGAGCAACGCCGCGUGAGUGAUGAAGGUCUUCGGAUCGUAAAACUCGGUUAUUAGGGAAGAACAAAUGUGUAAGUAACUAUGCACGUCUUGACGGUACCUAAUCAGAAAGCCACGGCUAACUACGUG
rnacentral:rRNA from 1 species